CGGAUGACGCGCAGGUGAAAGCUUUAUAUAUACUGAACAUUUAACGAGAUUGACAAUUUCAGUACCACUUCGAUAAUUCUAACUCUAUGAUGAGUAUGAGAAAUAUAGGGAAGUUUUUUGAAUUUUCAGUUAUAUAUAGACGUUUUUUAAAUUUUAAAAACCUGCAUUUUUUUUUGGGUGAAAUGAAAUAUUUUUUAAAAAAAUUGAAAUUGUGUGAGAAAUUUGUUGUCACUGAUAAGUCUAUUGUUUCACAAGUAGAAGUGUGACAUGUCACAAAUUCUGAGUAAGAAAUUGAUUACAUGGGAUGAUACUAUUUCAAAGAGAAAUAUGGAAUGUGAACGGAAGAAUAUGUGUUGGUUAGUUUUCCGCAUCAAAAGAAAGAAAUCAAACUCGUUUUCAUGUUGUUCUUACUAGUCAACGCUACAUUCUAGAGUUCCUAAAUUCCAAUUCUAAUAUUUGACUUUGACUAAAGGUAAUACAAAGGUCCAGUAUGGACUUUGACUCCUGGGAAGAUCAAAUUUAAAAUAAAAUAAGGGAAUGCUAUUGUUACAUCAAUUUUUAAUACAUAACCCCAUUGAGCUUUUACCUUAUAUGAAUAAUAAUAAAUGUGUUGAUCAAGGAAAUUAAAAAUUAACAAAGGAAAUAAAUUCAUCGAUCUUUUUCUUUCAUAUUAUUAUUUUUUAAGGUACAUAAUCAUGCAUCGAAUUAAACCAAAAGCAUUUAAUUUAGUAAACAAAAUCUUUCAGAUAAAGAGAAGUGAAAAAGAAACAUCAAGUUAAUUUCUUCACGAGCCACCCAAGCAUUCCCGGUCCAAAAGCUUCCUUCAAAGUUUUCACACAUACGCGUUCAGCUGUUCCCUCUCCCCAGAAACCCAAAAAGAAAUGUCAAAAUCCCUCCUUAAAUCUACCAACAGGCCCUCUCCAAAUUCAGCACCUCCUCUCCCGGUUUGGUUACUUUCCAUCUGAUAUUUUGCUUUCUUAGGUUCUUCCCAUUUCGAAAUCGAACCUCUCACGCAGCGUUCUAAAGACAUGUCUGCUGAAUCACUCUCUGCUUCAGCUGAGCACAACAUCAAAGGGUUGGCCACUUAUGGUGGACGAUACAUUCAGUACAAUGUGUACGGAAACCUAUUUGAGGUUUCGAGAAAGUAUGUUCCUCCUCUUCGGCCUGUGGGCAGAGGCGCUUACGGUAUUGUUUGUGCUGCUGUAAAUGCUGAGACACGUGAGGAAGUUGCAAUUAAGAAGGUUGGCAAUGCAUUUGACAACAGAAUAGAUGCCAAGAGGACCUUACGUGAAAUUAAACUGCUUCGGCACAUGGAUCAUGAAAAUGUCAUAGCCCUCAAAGACAUCAUUCGACCUCCACAGAAGGAGAAUUUCAAUGAUGUAUACAUUGUAUACGAGUUAAUGGACACUGAUCUGCACCAGAUAAUACGUUCCAAUCAACCAUUGACUGAUGAUCAUUGUCGGUAUUUUCUGUAUCAGUUGUUACGAGGACUCAAAUAUGUACAUUCAGCAAAUGUUUUGCAUCGUGAUUUAAAGCCCAGCAAUUUGCUCUUGAAUGCCAAUUGUGACCUCAAGAUUGGAGACUUUGGGCUUGCCAGAACUACAUCUGAAACUGAUUUUAUGACUGAGUAUGUAGUUACUCGGUGGUACCGAGCUCCAGAAUUGCUGCUCAAUUGUUCGGAAUAUACUGCAGCCAUCGACAUAUGGUCUGUUGGUUGCAUCCUUGGUGAAAUUAUGACAAGACAACCCCUCUUCCCUGGCAAAGAUUAUGUACAUCAGCUGAGACUAAUCACAGAGGUUCACCUGAUGAUGCUAGCCUUGGGUUUUUACGAAGUGAUAAUGCUCGUAGAUAUGUAAGACAGCUUCCACAAUAUCCCAGACGACAUUUUUCUGCUAGAUUUCCCCACAUGUCUCCAGGUGCUGUUGAUUUGCUGGAGAAGAUGCUUGUCUUUGAUCCUAACAGGCGCAUUACAGUUGAUGAGGCUCUUUGCCAUCCCUACUUGGCACCUCUCCAUGAUAUAAAUGGGGAACCCGUUUGCCCCAGACCUUUCAGUUUUGAUUUUGAGCAGCCGUCAUUUACUGAAGAAGACGUCAAGGAACUAAUCUGGAGAGA